rnacentral:piRNA from 1 species
UAGAGUAUGACUUAGCGCGUU